rnacentral:rRNA from 1 species
GCCAAGGAAAACAAAAAUGAGAAGGACACUCCCUGUUUCGCCCCGUUUGCGGUGUGCGUACAGGUCGUGGCCUCCUUGGAAUCACAAACGACUCUCGGCAACGGAUAUCUCGGCUCACGCAUGGAUGAAGAACGUAGCAAAAUGCGAUACUUGGUGUGAAUUGCAGAAUCCCGUGAACCAUCGAGUUUUUGAACGCAAGUUGCGCCCGAAGCCAUCCGGCUGAGGGCACGCCUGCCUGGGCGUCACGCAUCGCGUCGCUCCCCACCAUACCUCCCCAACGGGUUGGCAUGGUGUUGGGGGCGGAUAAUGGCCUCCCGUGCUUGUGUUUCGGUUGGCCUAAAUAAGAGUUCCCUUCGGCGGACACACGACUAGUGGUGGUUGAAUAGACCCUCGUCUUUUGUUGCGUGUCGUGAGCUGUAAGGGUAGCCCUCAUCAAAGACCCCAUUGUAUCGUCUUCGGAUGAUGCUUCGACCGCGACCCCAGGUCAGGCGGGACUACCCGCUGAG